rnacentral:rRNA from 1 species
UGGGGAAUAUUGGACAAUGGGCGCAAGCCUGAUCCAGCCAUGCCGCGUGAGUGAUGAAGGCCCUAGGGUUGUAAAGCUCUUUCACCGGUGAAGAUAAUGACGGUAACCGGAGAAGAAGCCCCGGCUAACUUCGUGCCAGCAGCCGCGGUAAUACGAAGGGGGCUAGCGUUGUUCGGAUUUACUGGGCGUAAAGCGCACGUAGGCGGACUAUUAAGUCAGGGGUGAAAUCCCGGGGCUCAACCCCGGAACUGCCUUUGAUACUGGUAGUCUUGAGUUCGAGAGAGGUGAGUGGAAUUCCGAGUGUAGAGGUGAAAUUCGUAGAUAUUCGGAGAAACACCAGUGGCGAAGGCGGCUCACUGACUCGAUACUGACGCUGAGGUGCGAAAGCGUGGGGAGCAAACAGG